UACGUAGGUGGCAAGCGUUGUCCGGAUUUACUGGGCGUAAAGGGAGCGUAGGCGGACUUUUAAGUGAGAUGUGAAAUACCCGAGCUCAACUUCGGUGCUGCAUUUCAAACUGGAAGUCUAGAGUGCAGGAGAGGAGAAGGGAAUUCCUAGUGUAGAGGUGAAAUGCGUAGAGAUUAGGAAGAACACCAGUGGCGAAGGCGCUUCUCUGGACUGUAACUGACGCUGAGGCUCGAAAGCGUGGGGAGCAAACAGG
rnacentral:rRNA from 1 species